rnacentral:rRNA from 1 species
ACGGAGGGUGCGAGCGUUAAUCGGAAUCACUGGGCGUAAAGCGCACGUAGGCGGUGUCGUAAGUCGGAUGUGAAAGCCCUCGGCUCAACCGGGGAACUGCAUUCGAUACUGCGACGCUUGAGUGCCGGAGAGGGUGGCGGAAUUCCAGGUGUAGCAGUGAAAUGCGUAGAUAUCUGGAGGAAUACCAGUGGCGAAGGCGGCCCCCUGGACGGAAACUGACGCUCAGGUGCGAAAGCGUGGGGAUCAAACAG